rnacentral:misc_RNA from 1 species
GAUGAAGAACGCAGCGAAAUGCGAUAAGUAAUGUGAAUUGCAGAAUUCAGUGAAUCAUCGAAUCUUUGAACGCACAUUGCGCCCCCUGGUAUUCCGGGGGGCAUGCCUGUUCGAGCGUCAUUUCACCACUCAAGCCUCGCUUGGUAUUGGGCAACGCGGUCCGCCGCGUGCCUCAAAUCGACCGGCUGGGUCUUCUGUCCCCUAAGCGUUGUGGAAACUAUUCGCUAAAGGGUGUUCGGGAGGCUACGCCGUAAAACAACCCCAUUUCUAAGGUUGACCUCGGAUCAGGUAGGGAUACCCGCUGAACUUAAGCAUGUCAAUAAGCGGAGGA